rnacentral:rRNA from 1 species
UACAGAGGGUGCAAGCGUUGUUCGGAAUUAUUGGGCGUAAAGGGCGCGUAGGCGGUGCCACAAGUCACCUGUGAAAUCUCCGGGCUUAACUCGGAGCCUGCAGGCGAAACUGUGGUGCUGGAGUGUGGGAGAGGUGCGUGGAAUUCCUGGUGUAGCGGUGAAAUGCGCAGAUAUCAGGAGGAACACCGGUGGCGAAGGCGGUGAUCUGGGCCGACACUGACGCUGUAGAGCGAAAGCGUGGGGAGCGAACAGG